AGCGAACGCUGGCGGCAGGCUUAACACAUGCAAGUCGAGCGGGCACUUUCGGGUGUCAGCGGCGGACGGGUGCGUAACGCGUGGGAACGUGCCCUCUGGUUCGGAAUAACUCAGGGAAACUUGAGCUAAUACCGGAUACGCCCUUUUGGGGAAAGGCUUGCUGCCGGAGGAUCGGCCCGCGUCUGAUUAGCUAGUUGGUGAGGUAACGGCUCACCAAGGCGACGAUCAGUAGCUGGACUGAGAGGAUGAUAAGCCACACUGGGACUGAGACACGGCCCAGACUCCUACGGGAGGCAGCAGUGGGGAAUAUUGGACAAUGGGGGCAAGCCUGAUCCAGCCAUGCCGCGUGAGUGAUGAAGGCCUUAGGGUUGUAAAGCUCUUUUAUCCGGGACGAUAAUGACGGUACCGGAGGAAUAAGCCCCGGCUAACUUCGUG
rnacentral:rRNA from 1 species